rnacentral:rRNA from 1 species
AUGGCGAUGGCGAUGCGACGCGCGGCGGCGCUCGGCGCCCGCCACAUCCUGGCCGCCUCCGUCUCCGCCUCCUCCCGCGUCGCCAGCCGCCGCCACAUGGGCAGCGUGGACGCGGGCGCGGCGAUGGAGAAGAUCCGGGCGGCGGGGCUGCUCAGGACGCGCGGCCUCAUCGGCGGCAAAUGGGUCGACGCCUACGACGGGAAGACCAUCGAGGUGCAAAAUCCAGCAACUGGCGAGGUCCUAGCAAAUGUAGCCUGCAUGGGCAACAGAGAAACAGCUGAUGCAAUAACUUCUGCUAACACUACAUUUUAUACUUGGAGCAAACUCACUGCAAGUGAAAGGAGCAAGGCACUAAGAAAAUGGCAUGACCUACUUAUGUCACACAAGGAAGAACUUGCACUUCUUAUGACACUGGAACAGGGGAAGCCUAUGAAAGAAGCCCUUGGGGAGGUGAACUAUGGUGCAAGUUUCAUAGAAUUUUUUGCUGAGGAAGCAAAGCGUGUGUAUGGUGAUAUUAUUCCCCCAACUCUAGCUGACCGCAGACUAUUGGUUCUGAAGCAGCCUAUUGGCGUAGUUGGAGCUAUUACACCAUGGAAUUUUCCUUUAGCAAUGAUAACCAGAAAGGUUGGACCAGCAUUGGCUUGUGGAUGCACUGUUGUUGUCAAGCCAUCAGAGUUCACACCUCUGACAGCAUUAGCUGCAGCAGACCUUGCUCUUCAAGCUGGAAUACCAGCUGGUGCACUAAAUGUUGUGAUGGGUAAUGCUCCUGAGAUAGGUGAUGAACUAAUGCAGAGCAUGCAGGUCAGAAAGAUUACGUUCACGGGUUCAACAGCUGUUGGCAAAAAACUGAUGGCUGGAUCAGCAAACACUGUGAAAAAGGUUUCUUUGGAGCUCGGUGGGAAUGCGCCUUGCAUUGUUUUCGAUGAUGCAGAUAUUGAUGUUGCCGUUAAAGGCAGUCUUGCUGCCAAGUUUCGGAACAGUGGACAGACGUGUGUAUGUGCAAACAGGAUAUUGGUGCAAGAAGGUAUCUAUGAAAAAUUCGCAAGUGCAUUUGUCAAGGCUGUUCAGAGUUUGCAAGUCGGUAAUGGGCUAGAAGAGAGUACAUCACAGGGUCCUCUAAUCAAUGAAGCUGCUGUUCAAAAGGUAGAGAAGUUUGUAGGUGAUGCUACUUCAAAGGGAGCCAACAUCAUGCUCGGUGGUAAAAGGCACAGCCUUGGGAUGAGCUUUUAUGAGCCAACCGUGGUAGGGAAUGUAAGCAAUGAUAUGCUUCUUUUCAGAUUUGAACUCUUAAUGUGUAACAAGGCCAAUACAUUUUGCUUCAGUGAAGAAGUUUUUGGUCCAGUUGCACCACUUAUACCAUUCAAAACUGAGGAGGAAGCAAUCCAUUUAGCAAACGACACCAAUGCAGGCUUAGCCGCAUACAUGUUUACAAAGAACAUUGCGCGGUCAUGGCGUGUUUCUGAAGCUCUUGAAUACGGGCUUGUCGGUGUGAACGAGGGAUUAAUUUCAACAGAGGUAGCGCCAUUCGGUGGGGUUAAGCAGUCUGGGCUUGGGCGAGAAGGAUCAAAAUACGGCAUGGACGACUACCUGGAGAUUAAGUACGUAUGCAUGGGCAACCUGGGUUGA